rnacentral:tRNA from 1 species
CCUCCGGUAGGAUAGUGGUUAGUGUUCUAGUCUGGUAGACCGGAGGUGGUGGGUUCGAUUCCCACCCGUGGCA